rnacentral:rRNA from 1 species
UUAUUCCCCACUGCUGCCUCCCGUAGGAGUUUGGGCCGUGUCUCAGUCCCAAUGUGGCCGAUCACUCUCUCAAGUCGGCUACUGAUCGUCGCCUUGGUAAGCCGUUACCUUACCAACUAGCUAAUCAGACGCGGGUCCAUCUUGUACCACCGGAGUUUUUCACACUGUACCAUGCGGUACUGUGCGCUUAUGCGGUAUUAGCAGUCAUUUCUAACUGUUAUCCCCCUGUACAAGGCAGGUUACCCACGCGUUACUCACCCGUCCGCCACUAAGUCAAUUGCAUCUUCCACCCGAAGGCUUCUGUCGCAAUUGCUUCGUUCGACUUGCAUGUGUUAAGCACGCCGCCAGCGUUCAUCCUGAGCCA